rnacentral:rRNA from 1 species
UCGGGAAUAUUGCGCAAUGGAGGAAACUCUGACGCAGUGACGCCGCGUAUAGGAAGAAGGUUUUCGGAUUGUAAACUAUUGUCGUGAGGGAAGAAAUUGACAGUACCUCAGGAGGAAGCUCCGGCUAACUAUGUGCCAGCAGCCGCGGUAAUACAUAGGGAGCAAGCGUUAUCCGGAUUUAUUGGGUGUAAAGGGUGCGUAGACGGGAAAUUAAGUUAGUUGUGAAAUCCCUCGGCUUAACUGAGGAACUGCAACUAAAACUGAUUUUCUUGAGUACUGGAGAGGAAAGUGGAAUUCCUAGUG